AGUCGCUCAUUCAACUUUUUAUGUUGGUCCCAAUAUAGAGGGAUCCACACCACAUAAGCCAGGAAUGAUGCCAAAAGUCAGGUGCCUACCGUCCAGCAGCAUGAUAUUUGCUUAUAAACAAGCUUUAUCAAACAUCGGGCGACACGUGGAGUGAGGCACUAUCUA
rnacentral:sRNA from 1 species